rnacentral:rRNA from 1 species
AUUGAACGCUGGCGGCAUGCCUUACACAUGCAAGUCGAACGGUAACAGGUUAAGCUGACGAGUGGCGAACGGGUGUGUAAUAUAUCGGAACGUGCCCAGUCGUGGGGGAUAACGUAGCGAAAGCUACGCUAAUACCGCAUACGAUCUACGGAUGAAAACGGGGGAUCGCAAGACCUCGCGCGAUUGGAGCGGCCGAUAUCAGAUUAGGUUGUUGGUGAGGUAAAAGCUCACCAAGCCUGCGAUCUGUAGCUGGUCUGAGAGGACGACCAGCCACACUGGAACUGAGACACGGUCCAGACUCCUACGGGAGGCAGCAGUGGGGAAUUUUGGACAAUGGACGCAAGUCUGAUCCAGCAAUGCCGCGUGCAGGACGAAGGCCUUCGGGUUGUAAACUGCUUUUGUACGGAACGAAACGGUGAGCUCUAAUACAGUUUGCUAAUGACGGUACCGUAAGAAUAAGCACCGGCUAACUACGUGCCAGCCGCCGCCGUAG